rnacentral:rRNA from 1 species
GCACCGGCUAACUCCGUGCCAGCAGCCGCGGUAAUACGGAGGGUGCGAGCGUUAAUCGGAAUUACUGGGCGUAAAGCGCAUGCAGGUGGUUUGUUAAGUUCAGAUGUGAAAGACCCGGGGCGUCAACCUCGGAAUAGCAUUUGAAACUAGGCAGACUAGAGUACUGUAGAGGGGGGUAGGAAUUUCAGGUGUAGCGGUGAAAUGCGUAGAGAUCUGAAGGAAUACCGGUGGCGAAGGCGGCCCCCUCGGACAGAUACUGACACUCAGAUGCGAAAGCGUGGGGAGCAAACAGGAUUAGAUACCCUGGUAG